rnacentral:rRNA from 1 species
CUAUCCGUCGUGGGCGUAGGAAAUUUGAGAGGAGCUGUCCUUAGUACGAGAGGACCGGGAUGGACACACCGCUGGUGUACCAGUUGUCUUGCCAAAGGCAUCGCUGGGUAGCUAUGUGUGGACGGGAUAAGUGCUGAAAGCAUCUAAGCAUGAAGCCCCCCUCAAGAUGAGAUUUCCCAUAGCGCAAGCUAGUAAGAUCCCUGAAAGAUGAUCAGGUUGAUAGGUCAGAGGUGGAAGCGUGGCGACAUGUGUAGCUGACUGAUACUAAUCGAUCGAGGACUUAACCAAAC